rnacentral:miRNA from 1 species
AUUGUUACACCGCGCCGCAA